rnacentral:rRNA from 1 species
UGCCAGCAGCCGCGGUAAUACGAAGGGUGCUAGCGUUGUUCGGAAUUACUGGGCGUAAAGAGCAUGUAGGCGGAUGAAUUAGUCAGAGGUGAAAGCCCCGAGCUCAACUUGGGAACUGCCUUUGAUACUGAUGAUCUUGAAUAUUGUUGAAGUUGGCGGAAUAGGUCAUGUAGCGGUGAAAUGCUUAGAUAUGACCUAGAACACCGAUUGCGAAGGCAGCCAACUAAGCAGUUAUUGACGCUGAGGGACGAAAGCGUGGGGAGCGAACAGGAUUAGAUA